rnacentral:rRNA from 1 species
GACGAGGGAUCCUAGCGUUGUUCGGAAUCAUUGGGCGUAAAGCGGGUGUAGGUUGCUUUUUAAGUCAUAUGUGAAAGCCUAGGGCUCAACCCUAGAAGUGCAUCUGAUACUAUUAAGCUUGAGUGUGGGAGAGGCUGUUAGAAUUCCUGGUGUAGUGGUGAAAUACGUAGAUAUCAGGAGGAAUACCGGUUGCGAAGGCGGAUAGCUGGCCCAACACUGACACUAAGACCCGAAAGCGUGGGGAUCAAACAGG